UACCUCGCUGAUCGGAAGGGGUUCCUUCCGAUCAACGAGGUACAUCCUCGUUGACCGGAAGGAAACUCUUCCGGUCAACGAGGUA
rnacentral:miRNA from 1 species